GAGGGUAAAGCUCAGUAGUAGAGCGCAUGCUUAGUAUGCAUGAAGUCCUGAGUUCAAUCCCUAGUACCUCCA
rnacentral:tRNA from 1 species